GUGGAUGUAGCUCAGCAGGUAGAGCCCCGGAUUGUGGAUCCGGCUGUCGUGGGUUCGAGCCCCAUCAUCCACCCCA
rnacentral:tRNA from 1 species